UAGAUUAAGCCAGAGAAUCGAAACAAUUCAGAUCUAGCCAGAAGACCGAAGUAGAUUCAGCCAGAGAAUCAAAGAAAAUAGAUUCAGCCAGAGAAUCGAAACAACUCAGAUCUAGCCAGAAGAUCGAAGUAGAUUCAUCUAGAGAAUCAAAGAAAAUAGAUUCAGCCAGAGAAUCGAAAUAAAGGAGAUCUAGCCAGAAGAUCGAAGAAGAUCUAGCCAGAAGAUUGAAACCGUAUCUAGCCCGAGGAUCAAAAUUAACAUCCAAC
rnacentral:lncRNA from 1 species